AUUGUAAUUUAAAAAUAAAAACUAGCAUCCUGCAUCUUUGAUUGCCAGAUUCAUCAUAACACGCAUAAAUAUAAACAAAAAGACUCAAGAUAUAGCUCUUUAAAAAACCUGUGUGUGUGAUAAUGUCAUAUAGUUAGUUAAAAAUUGCUUUGAUUUAUAGGGAUUUAAUUUAGUGACUUUACCAUUUGUUUUAAUGAUGUUUAUUUACAGUGCAAUCUAUUCUGCUUACCCGACUCAUGCAGACUUCUGUCCUGAUGUUUGGCUGUAGUCCUUCCAUCAUCCACUCUUCUGCAACCGGUCUAUUUAUGGAGACCACCAUGAUCUAAUCUAUACAGAUCUAGUUGUCUCUUCUCCCACAAACUCCUCUUUCAGAUUUUGAGCGGAUCUCCUUCAUUCUGCCGCCAGCUCACCAGAACCUCAGGGUGCACCAGCUGUGGAUAUUACAGGCCAAACUUUGGACACCCUAGGACAACAUCCUUAGCACAGAUCUACCUAUAGCCCUCCAUCAUUCCCACAUCCAUCUUGCAACAGUUUCAUGAAGUGCAGUCCAUAACCAGUUCACGGUCUACACCUUGUCCAUUGCAAAUGUUAUGGAUUAUUCUAAUAGAGAUCUUUCUAUUAUUUUUUUGAGACUGUUAUUAUGUACUCUGUUAUGUUGUGAAUAAAGUCAACCCCCCCCCCCCCUCGAUGCUUUCAGCAGUUAAUACAUUAAAGUGUGUCCUUAAUGUUUUAUUAUUUAAAGAUUGUUUUAAAGUUUAUUACAGGCUCAGUUUAUUUUUUUUUUUCACUAGAAAAUAAAGUGUUGUAUUACCUGUCAUAAUCAAGUAUGAGACUUUUGUCAGUAUCAUUAAUUCUGAGGCAAUAUGAAUCAAAUUAACAUUUGUAUAGGGUUUUCAUCCGAAGGCUUCUUCCUCAUUCAGUUAAACAUCAAGGGUUUUCUUUGCCUUUGUCACCUUUAACUUUCUCAUUGGAAAUUGUGAGCAUCAUUAUUUGGAAGAAAAUAAGAAUAUGAAAAUGGCUUUGGAUUUCAAUGUAUUGCAUGGAAUCAAAGAACCACACAAACCUUUGACCUUCAUACAGACAUGGUAUAAAUUAAAGUGUUACUCAAAUUA